UGUUAUGGAUGAGCAAAGAAAGCGGUUUCUUGAGAUGGAAUCUACUCUUGGUGAAGAUGAUGUGAA
rnacentral:pre_miRNA from 1 species